CCGGCACCAAGCACCUCUGAUCCGCCGGGGCCGCAAAGCAAUGGCCGCCGCAGCGGCAGCAGGCGCGGCAUCCUCCCUUGUCCCCUCCACUUCCCAGCGCCGUCUCCCCUUCCGUCCCACCCCCACCCGCCAACCCCUCCUAGCCGCCAACAGGACCCUGACGCUCUCCCCGAAGCCACCCCGCCUCCUGCAUCCCCUCGCCGCGUCCUCCUCCUCUCCGCCUCCGCCCGAGGAUGCUGAGCCAACCGACCCCGUCAAGCUCGCCUUCGCCCGCGCCGCCGCGUACAAGAAGGAGAGGACUAAUCCGACGCCCAAGCCACCGCCACCGCCACCGUCGCCUUCCCCUCCGCCGCAGCCUUCCGCAAAGGAGUCCAGCGGCAGCAAAGAGGCAUUCGAGCGGGCGCUGGAGUACAGGAACGGCAACGGGGGAGGACUGGACGGCGGCUCCCCGCUUCUCAAUCCGUCGCCGACUUUCGGCCAAAGCACGUUUACUAGUAAAGAAGGUGCAUUUGGCAAAGUGGCAAAGAAAAAGGGAGGGUAUGCGUACGAUGAGACGGACUUUUUGGGCCUCGGUUUCUUCGAGAAAAAACGUUAUCAAGGUCCACCACCAGGGCUAUCUCAAGGAAUUGAUCCUUUUUCAAAUGAAGAUUUUCCUGAGGUGGAGAUAGUAGUUGGCGACCCUAGUAAAUUUGGGAAGUCUCGUCGUUCAACUGAAAAUCAACCUCUAGAUGAUAGCGAGUCUGAGGAAACUUCACGUUCAAAAGACGGCAAACAAAAUGAAGAUAGCAAGCUUGAGGAAACACCACUUUCAACUGUUAUUGAACCUGAAGAUGACGAAAACUCAGAGUCGUACAAACCCAGGGUUACAACGUGGGGAAUGUUUCCACGGCCACAAAAUAUUUCAAAGGCGUAUGGUGGUGGAAGAAAUAUAAGCCUUGGUGGAGAGACUCAAAGUGCUGAAGAGAAAGCAGCUAAAGAUAAACGUACCAGAGAACUACUAACUGCGUAUAUUGGUGGAAAAAACAAGACACUCGAUGCAAAAACAAAGGCAGAGUGCACCAAGGCACUGAAGGAAGGUGACGAACUUAUGAAUGCUGGAAGGCUGAAACAAGCUUUGCCUUAUUAUGAAAAAGUGAUGCAGGCUGCGGACUUUAAGACCGAACUUCAUGGAAUGGCUGCUCUCCAGUGGUCCAUCUGUCUGGAUUCACUCUGCAGAUUUUUCACAUGCAUCCGAUGAAUUUUUCGUAUAAGCUGCACAUGAACUGAAACAUGCACCAAUACUGUCCAAGGAAGCCAUGGGCAUGUAUAGCAAGCUCAAGUACCACCCAAACGAUCGCGUCAGCAAGAAGGCAAAGAUGUUCAUGUUCAGCUUUCAGGCGGCGGACUUCCUGAAGGUCGACGGCGUGCCAGUGCCGCGCAACACGGGCUACGAGGGGUACUUCGACCAGUUUGGCGGGCAGAGGAACUACUACGCGAACCCGGACGAGCCCGAGGUGGGGAUCCGGCAGAUCAUCCCGUACAUGCUCUUUCUCGUCUCCCCCAUUUUCUUCGUCGCUUUUAUCGCUUUGAGAAAGUCUUUGAUGCUGUAAUAUAAGAAACGAGAAAGCUAUAUUCCUGCCGUCCAAA